UGGGGAAUAUUGCGCAAUGGGGGGAACCCUGACGCAGCCAUGCCGCGUGAAUGAAGAGGGCCUUCGGGUUGUAAAGUUCUUUCGGUAUUGAGGAAGGUUGAUGUGUUAAUAGCACAUCAAAUUGACGUUAAAUACAGAAGAAGCACCGGCUAACUCCGUGCCAGCAGCCGCGGUAAUACGGAGGGUGCGAGCGUUAAUCGGAAUAACUGGGCGUAAAGGGCACGCAGGCGGUUAUUUAAGUGAGGUGUGAAAGCCCUGGGCUUAACCUAGGAAUUGCAUUUCAGACUGGGUAACUAGAGUACUUUAGGGAGGGGUAGAAUUCCACGUGUAGCGGUGAAAUGCGUAGAGAUGUGGAGGAAUACCGAAGGCGAAGGCAGCCCCUUGGGAAUGUACUGACGCUCAUGUGCGAAAGCGUGGGGAGCAAACAGGAUUAGAUACCCUGGUAGUCCACGCUGUAAACGCUGUCGAUUUGGGGAUUGGGCUUAGAGCUUGGUGCCCGUAGCUAACGUGAUAAAUCGACCGCCUGGGGAGUACGGCCGCAAGGUUA
rnacentral:rRNA from 1 species